AACGAACGCUGGCGGCAUGCCUAACACAUGCAAGUCGAACGAGACCUUCGGGUCUAGUGGCGCACGGGUGCGUAACGCGUGGGAACCUGCCCUUAGGUUCGGAAUAACUCCCCGAAAGGGGUGCUAAUACCGGAUAAUGUCUUCGGACCAAAGAUUUAUCGCCCUUGGAUGGGCCCGCGUUGGAUUAGCUAGUUGGUAGGGUAAAAGCCUACCAAGGCGACGAUCCAUAGCUGGUCUGAGAGGAUGAUCAGCCACACUGGGACUGAGACACGGCCCAGACUCCUACGGGAGGCAGCAGUGGGGAAUAUUGGACAAUGGGCGAAAGCCUGAUCCAGCAAUGCCGCGUGAGUGAUGAAGGCCUUAGGGUUGUAAAGCUCUUUUACCCGCGAUGAUAAUGACAGUACCGGGAGAAUAAGCUCCGGCUAACUCCGUG
rnacentral:rRNA from 1 species